GUGCUACGUAUAUUUAAUAGUCUUCUGUAAUAAUAAAAAAAGAAAAAGGUUGAUUGAAAAAUUAAAGAGAUUUGAUGUGUAUUUAUCUAAUUAUCAAUCAUUAAAUUCAUUCCAUUUUACGUUUAACAGACUUUCACAGAAUUUUAUUUCCAUUCCACAGUCCAUACCCAACUCUUUCCUAUAUAUAAAUCCUCCAUUCCGUUCUUUUGUUAAUCCCAAAAUCCUUCGCACCUCUCCGACUCCAAGGCUCCACGAGUGCGUCAUCUCCAAAAUACUGAAACAAGUUAAAUAUUUUAUUUUACUCGAUAUCACUGCUUUAAAAAUAGAGUUGAUUUUUUUUUUUCAAUAAUAAGCGUAUAUCUGUUUAUUUAUGCUCAACGACCAAAAAAACAAUGACAAGCUCCAGAAAAAGGAGUCCCUAACAAGGCAAGCAACGAAAAAAAAGGUUAAAAAGCUGAACUAAAACAUUUAUGUUAUAAAAUAAAUAAAUAACAGAAAAAUUUUGAAUUAAACAAAGUACUUAAAAAGUACCUUAUUGCUAAGCUUAUUAGUGAUAAGCUUUUGAAUUUUAUUAUC
rnacentral:lncRNA from 1 species